CCUUCUAGGUGGUGGAGACCCAAAGGGAGCUUGAAGUCUAGAGUGGUAGCCAAAAAGAAAGGAGAGAAACACCUUGGGAGAUAGCUUUGAUUUGGUUGUAAUUGUUGGCUUUGUAAUCUUUCUUCUUUUUCUUCUCUUGUAACUCAUGGCCUUGUUAGGUGUCUUGGGGGAGUCUUUGGUGCUCAAUCCCAUCUCCUAACAAGAACCUUUAUUUCUUAGUAAAUUUCGUUUUUAGUUGGUUGGUUGGAGGAACCAAAGUUCUUCUAACUUAAUCAUUAGGCCGCAUAGCUAGUUUAUUUGCUUUCUUUAAUUGUGAUAGCU
rnacentral:lncRNA from 1 species